GUCUUUCGAGAAAAAUGGCCACGUCCAUCGAUGGCCGCUUAGUAGGUGGCGAGUGUACGCGUCACUAAGCACGAUAUCCCUCGGGUGUCUGUUACAUAUCUACACAUAUUAUUGUUGGGUAGAGAACAUAGAAUUAAUUAUCAGUUUAGUUAUAGUCUACUUUCCCUGGGUACAGUUGUUAUUGCAACAUGAACUGCGUACGUACCAGGCAAGAGAGAGGAGUAAGAGUGCAUGCCUUCUACGUAGUGUACGGUCUCAUUAAGUACGGGAAAUAAAAGAGAAACCGUUAAAGUAAGUAAGUAUAUAAAAUUUGACGUUGAAGUAAAAACUUUGAAAAAUAUAUAAACUUGAGGACUACGGUUCUGGAAGUCUUGUUCUAAUUAGAACUUUUGUAAGUUUGUAGAAAAUCAAAGUUGCAAAGUUUACUCACUUUGUACAAAACACCUUAUGUACUUUAUUCAUAAACUCGCUUUGGUUUUAAUAGUAAAUGUUUACUCGUUUUAGAUAAAAUACUUCGCUCACUUUAAUAAAAAAAUAAAGUAAAUUUACAGUGAAUAAAGUUCAAUUUUAAAUAUAAAGUUUGCAAACUUUGUUUGAAAACUCAACUAACUUUAUGUAAACUUAUAUAAAGUAUUUACGAUUCACCUUAAUCAAAAACUCUAUAUAAACAUUACUCACUUUAGUCAAAAUGUUUUACUCAAUAAAGUUAAUUGACUUUAUCCAGAAAACUUAAGUUACUUUGGUUAAAAUACUUUAUCUAACAAGGUUACACACUUUAACUAAUACAAGCACUUCGACGAAUGAGGACUAACACUUUGACUAUAAAUCCUUUGUAUUAACGUUCACUUUAUACUUUGAUAUCUUAAAUUUAUACGUACGUAAUAAAAUUUCGCCACUUUAGACAUUAUAUUUUACUCACUUAGUCAAAAGCUUUACUUACCUUAGUACAAAAAUUUUGCCUACUUUAUACAAAAAAAUUACACACUUUAGACAGAAAAGUUUACUCACUUAAGUAUAAAAAAUUUGCUCACUUAACAAUAAAACUUAGUUGAUUUUUUCUACUCACUUUAUACGUAUACUUUGUUUAAAGUAACACUUUAUACAAAUUGAACAUUAAAUCUUUUUACACUUUGAUCAAUAAAAUUUUGUACGCUAAUAAAGUUAAAAAAUAUUUACUCGCUUUAGAUAAAAUACUUCACUCACUUUAACAAAAAAUAAAGUAAAUUUACAGUGAAUAAAGUUCAAUUUUAAAUAUAAAGUUUGCAAACUUUGAUUGAAAACUCAACUAACUUUAUGUAAACUUAUAUAAAGUAUUUAUGUUUCACCUUAAUCAAAAACUCUAUAUAAAACAUUACUCACUUUAGUCAAAAUGCUUUACUCAAUAAAGUUAAUUGACUUUAUCCAGAAAACUUAAGUUACUUUGGUUAAAAUACUUUAUCUAACAAGGUUACACACUUUAACCAAUACAAGCACUUCGACGAAUGAGGACUAACACUUUGACUAUAAAUCCUUUAUAUCAACGUUCACUUUAUACUUUGAUAUUUUAAAUUUAUUCGUACGUACUAAAAUUUCGCCACUUUAGACAUUAUAUUUUACUCACUGAGUCAAAAGCUUUACUUACCUUAGUACAAAAAUUUUGUCUACUUUAUACAAAAAAAUUACACACUUUAGACAGAAAAGUUUACUCACUUAAGGAUAAAAAAUUUACUCACUUUAUACGAAAAGUUAUACUCACUUUAUACAAAAAGUUAAAAUCACUUUAUACAAAAAUUUUCAGGCGAUUUAAUUUCGAUCAAGCUUACAUAGGUAUUAACUAGAACAAGACUUCGAGAAGAACAAUCCUUAAGUUUAUAUAUUUUUUUAAGUUUUAUCCUCAACAAUAAUUUUUCUAUAGGUACUAGGUUUUAAAGUGUUACUUUAAUUUACUUUCAUAAAACUACCUCUCUCUCCCUUAUAAAUUGAACGUACGUUGACCAGAACAGCAUGUAAAAAAGAGAGAAGACUGUUUUCGACUGUUCACGUACGUUUACAAGUGUACAUAAGGACACAUAAGAUAGGUACAGAGAAUAUGUUGUUUUCCCCCGUGCUUAGAGGUUUUGUCGUCGUUACCACCUACAACCUGGCCAUCCAUGGCCAGGGCCAUUUUUUUGAAUCAGC
rnacentral:rRNA from 1 species